CCUUUCUGAUAAUAAGCCUCCCAGGCCGGUUCAAAGUACAUUGCUUUUGUUCACAUUAAGAGAAACACUCACAGAAAGGGGAACUAGACUCGACUUGCUCUGCUUGAAGCUCUGUUACGUUCUACAUUUUAUUCUUGGGAAUUCUUCACGAAAAGAUCAAGGAUUCAUGUCGGAUUCAGGUGGUCAACAUGGACGGGGUUGGUCGAAGGGCCUGGUUUCUUGCUGCAUCUCUCGAUGACUCUACUUCGGAAUAAUCAGGAGAUUUUGAUGGAUUAUACAAAAUUCUGGCAGACUGGAUGCAGGGACGCUUCCCCAGUCUGGGAUUGAGAGGAGGGGACAUGAUUUUCAGCACCACAGACCAAAGACACCGGUACGCAGUACAGCACCUGGGACUGAGAGUGAGUUUCCAAAGAGAUCACCAGCUCGUAACCCAGUACGGAUGGAAAGACGGCUGGCUGGAUUCGAACUCAGGACCUUUCGUCCCGAAGUCCGACGCUGAUGCCACUACGCCACCCAAUGUGGAAAAACUGUUAAGUCAUCUGGUCUGGCGGAAAGGGAUGGCAUGGCAAUGUCUCUGGAGAUGGAUUUAGAAGGAAAUCUGCCCUCAACUGCUGAAAUCCAUUACACAAGCCGUAUAUACAGUAUAUAAUCCCCUUACCACACACCCCAACUAUUCCCGGCACGCAAUGACGUGGCAUAUUCACUGUAAGAGGUUACCACAUCCAGAGUUCUGCAACACAGCUAGCACAACAGUAUCUCUUCCAUCUCAGGCAACUGAAGAAGUUCAGCAUGAGCCCCCAGAUCCUCAAGACCUUCUACAGUGGCACCAUUGAGAGCAACCUGACUGGCUGGAUCACUGCCUGGUACGGGAACUGCACCAACCUUGAUCGCUGGGCACUGUAGAGAGUAGUAUGGACAGCCCAGCACCUCUGUGGAUGUGAACUUCCCUCCACUGAGGACAUUUACAGGAAUAGGUAUGUAAAGAAGGCCUGGAAGAUCAUCGGGGACACCAGUCACCCCAACCAUAAGCUGUUUCAGCUGCUUCCGUCUGGCAAACGGGACCACAGCAUUAAAGCCAGGACCAACAGGCUAUGGGACAGCUUCUUUCUACAAGCCAUUAGACUUUUAAAUUCAUGUGUCUGUACAUUGCGAGAGAGUCAUAACACAAAGAUUUUUUACUCCCUGACGUUGUGGGACAGACGUAAGAUUUAAAUAAGUUCAAAUUCAAAUUGGUAUCAUUCCAAAGUCACUACACCAUAGUAUUAAACAAUUAGGCCUACACAGCAAUAUCUUUGUAAAUCUCAAGAAAGCCACAAUACUAAACACCACUAGAGUAGUGUGAAAGUUCCCAGUAAUUGAGAAAUGAGUGUGCUUGGUUUUGCCUGUAUCUCAGGUUUUACCAGCUUGAGCUGAGAGAGAUAAUAAAUAAAUAAAUGGUGCUGAAAACAUAGAAAACCUAGAGCACAAUACAGGCCCUUCGGCCCACAAUGUUGUGCCGAACAUGUACUUACUUUAGAAAUUACCUCUGUUUACCCAUUGCCCUCUAAUUUUCUAAGGUCCAUGUACCUAUCCAGGAGUCUCUUAAAAGACCCUAUUGUAUCUGCCUCCACCACCGUCGCCAGCAGCCCAUUCCACACACUCACCACCCUUUGAGUAAAAGGCUUACCCCUGACAUCUCCUCUGUACCUACUUCCAAGCACCUUAAAAUUGUGCCCUCUCAGGUUAGCCAUUACAGACCUGGGAAGAAAACCUUUGACUAUCCACGUGGUCAGUGCCUCUCAUCAUCUUAUAACAUGUGAGAACAUCAUCUGAGAACAGACAUCCCACCUCUCCCGGAAGUUCUGGGAGUCUCCCACAAAUUGAUGGUGCUACCUCCCUGAAAUGAGUUUUUGCAGGGUGGGAUGUCUGUGAGAACAUGUGUUGUAGAAUCCUUGAAAGUGAGUUGGGAAGUUGUGUUCAGUGUUAACCAUUCUGAAUUUCCCUCAUUCACAGGUUUUUCUCUUGAUUUUCUCAGGGUGUGGGAGACAAAAGGAGAUCAAGAUGCAGAAGAAGGUGAUUCCUCCUUUGUGCCUUCUCUGUUAUUCUGUAACUAUCACAGUUAAUCUUUUAAUUCAGUGCAACUUUUCUCUCCUAACCUCAUAUUAAUUGAUUCCCUUUGCAUCUAAACAUCAAUUGAUCUCUAUCCUGAAUAUACUCAACACUCUGGGUAAAGAAAUUUCUCCUCAUAUCUGUUCUGAAUAGGUUGAGACUGUGACACCAGAAUCUGGAAAUCCCAGCCAGAGGAAAGAUUAACCUCGAACAGCCCUGUGAAAAAUUCAAUCAGGUCACUGCUCCUUCUUCUAAAUUCAUGAGGAUAUAGGGCCAAUCUACUCACUGGAAUUCAGAAGAAUGAGAGGAGAUCUUAUAGGAACAUAUAACAUUAUGAAAGGGACAGAUAAGAUAGAGGCAGCAAAGUUGUUUCCACUGGUAGGUGAGACUAGAACUAGGGGACAUGGCCUCAAGAUUCAGGGGAGUAGAUUUAGGACGGAGAUGAGGAGGAACUGCUUUUCCCAGAGAGUGGUGAAUCUGUGGAAUUCUCUGCCCAAUGAUACUUCAGUAAAUAUAUUUAAGAUAGGGAAUUAAGAGUUAUGGGGAAAAGGCAGGUAGAUGGAGAUGAGUCCAUGGCCAGAUCAGCCAUGAUCUUAUUGAAUGGCGGGGCGGGCUCGAUGGGCCAGAUGGCCGACUCCUGCUCCUAUUUCUUAUGUUCUUAUGUUCAAUCUGCCUUUUCGGUCUGGAUAUGAGAAAUCAGCUCAGGAAUCAAUAUGGAACACCUUGGCUGCAUCCUUCUACAGCAAAUAUAUCCUCCCUUAGGAAGGGAGAAUAGACCCAAACACAAUAUUCCAGACACAGUCUUACCGGCAACCUAAAUACUUGCACAAAGAUAUCUCUGCUCUUGUACUCAAAUCCUUAUGUAAUAAUGAUCAACACAUUCAGCUCUCUCUGAAUACCAACACCUUUCAAUCUUCUCCUCCUGAAAAAUAUUUCUCCGUGCUUGGCUGGAGGCUGCCUUCCCGAGGUCAAGCAGUGGAAUGACAGGCUCAAUUGUAUGUGCCUGUGCAUUGCUGGGAGACUGUACCAUUGACUGCAGGACAUGUCGUUAAGGUUCUUGUGUGUGUGUGUAUAUAUAUAUAUAUAUAUAUAUAUAUAUAUACACACACACACACAUACAUAUAUAUAUAUAAAUUUAUUUAUUUAAGUGGAUAUGCUUCAUUGCUCACUAUUUUGAAUAUUUGCUUGCUAUUUAGAAUAAGCUUUUUUGUACGUUUUGCACCUUGGUCCCAGGGGAACACUGUCUCAUUCGGCUGUAUCCAUGUAUAGUUGAAUGAUAAUUAAACUUGACUUGAUUUGAUAUUGCUGUCAGGAUUUUAAGUGCUCCUUUGUGAUGGAAUGCUGUACUUUUGGGAAGAACUGGGAGCAUUCAAAUUUCCAGUUCUGGCGAAGGAUCUACAAUCUCUCUUUGUAUUAUACACGCCAGCAGUCCUGUUGUAUGACUCUGGCAAUUUAAUUUAGCCUAAUUAAUGCAUUCCUCGAAGAGGACCACAACAUUGUUGUGAACACAAAAUAACCUGCAGAUGCUGGGAUCAAAGCAACACUCACAACAUGCUGGAGGAACUCAGCAGGUCGGGCAGCAUCU